rnacentral:rRNA from 1 species
AACUAACGCUGGCGGCGUGCCUAACACAUGCAAGUCGUACGAGAAAGUUGGCUUCGGCCGAUGAGUAAAGUGGCGCACGGGUGAGUAAUGCGUGGAUAAUCUGCCCUUUAGUUGGGAAUAACGUACCGAAAGGUGCGCUAAUACCUGAUAAUACUGCAUAACUACUGUUGUGUAGUCAAAGAAGGCCUCUGUUUACAAGCUUUUGCUGAAGGAUGAGUCCGCGUACCAUUAGCUGGUUGGUGGGGUAAUGGCCUACCAAGGCUACGAUGGUUAGCUGGUCUGAGAGGAUGAUCAGCCACACUGGAACUGAGACACGGUCCAGACUCCUACGGGAGGCAGCAGUGAGGAAUCUUGCGCAAUGGGGGAAACCCUGACGCAGCAACGCCGCGUGAGUGAGGAAGGCCUUCGGGUCGUAAAGCUCUGUCAGAUGGAAGAAAUAGGUGGGGCGUAAUAUCGCCCAUCCUUGACGGUACCGAUCAGAGGAAGCACC